CCAACGCAAAUCAAUGGAGCUGCCGACCCGGAUUGUUGUCGGCUGCUAUAAGAAGGGAGGGUCCUCGGCUCGAAUAGCCAUCAGGUCAAUUUUGGACGAAGCAUCCAACGUCGACACCGAGUUCAAUGCAGGAAGAAGCGCCGAGUUCGCCGGAGGUAGAAGAAGCGCCGAGUUUGCCGGAGGUAGAAGAACAGCCGUCGAUCCGUCCAAUGUCGCCUGCGUCGGCUACAGCAGAGGUAUGUAUCCCCUUAACCCCUGUUUUGAGUUAUUUUUCUGUCCCCCGUUUCUCUGUGUACCUUCUAAUAUGGAGUUCAGAGGUGAAGAUAUUGCUGCGAAGUACGUCAGUUUAGAUAUUGUUGCGAAGUACGUCAGUUUAGAUAUUGUUGCCUUCUUGUGAUUGUAGACACCCAUGUUGUGUGGUUGGUCUGUUGAACAACGAAAUUGCUAUGCGUACGAUGAAUUGUGCGUACGGCUUUGUACGUUGAACAAAGCACUGGAACUGUCAGCAAUUCAUUCAGGUAGUGUUGUUCUCUGAGCAGAGAAAACAAAAUUCAGUAAUUGCUGGUGGGUUCUGAUCCAUCUGGACGGAACUGAACUUCUAAACAUGCAGAGGCAUGCUAGAUAUAUAUAUUAUAUAUUAUAUAUACCAUCGUAGUCCCUCGACGCCGGUCAAUAUCCUUGCCGGAGCCUCGCCUGCCGGCUCCUUGGAGCACGCUGCCCGCCGGUGGACACCCAAUUGUGCGCGAACCCGCCGAGGACUGACCUCGCCACCUCUGUGCCUCCCCCAGGAUCUCCGCCACCGCCUUGUGCUGCUGUGCGCAAGGAUACCGCUGCCUCUCCCUGGUACAUCCAUCUCCACUUCCUCGGGGCGCUGCUCGCUGGCUCAUGACCUGCUAUAGAGUUGACGUUUGCGCACACAAGUUCCCCUGUCUGGCUCUGCCGGCUCCCGUAGUUGAGCAGAGCGAGGAGAUCGACAGAGGAAAUACUCACUUGAUUUUGCAAAUUAUGUUGGGCAUGGAGAUUGAUCUGUUAUUUUUGGUUGUCCCUAGAUUCAAGGAUGACAGCGCCCAAACCUUUCCCUGAUGUUUGGGCAAAGGUGUGUGUGUGUGAUGUGCGAGCAAAGCGACGAAACAAUGGUGGCUGGUUAUGUAUCUCGCGGGACUCAACGGUUACAGUUUCGGGAGCAGCACUGUUGCUUGCUAGCAUAUUUUUUCUUACAUAUAUGAACUGAUGAUGCUUUAUUUGGUGUUGUUUCCCAUGGCAGUACAUUAUGGCUUUGUUGACGAUGAUUUCUGCUAAUGUGCAUACAGCAGAGGAAUAGACCCGGCAAGGAAGAGAGCUACACCAAUGUAGUCGGUGGAAUUAACAAGCAAAGUAAAUCCUGAAGCUCCUGGUUGUAACAAGAGGUAAUUCCCCGUUUUCCAUGCACAAUGCAUUAGUUGAUACAGAGUAUUUGUGCGUCCAAAUAGCAACAUGAAUUUGGUUUUAGUAGUUUUUGAAUUCAAGUGUCAGAAAAAUCAUGCUGCUUAUUUUCGUAGCAUUUGUGAUGGAUCGAUUUUGUGUUGGAGGCCGAGGAUUGGGUCUGCACCUCUUACCACAGUCAGUUGUCAUCGGUGGCCAGCCAGCGACACUGGUGAAGGAAUGAGUGUGGCCGGAGAUCUUUUGGUGACGUCCGGUGCAUGUCACGUGACAGAGUGGAGGCGCAGACUCCCCUGCCCCAGCUUUGGCGCCGCCACCUACCAAUGCGCAGCACAAGCCUGACUGACACAGCCCAAAUCUUGAUUCGGCACCAUCACGGAGCAUGACGAGGCGUUGCAGUGAAGCUAUAGAGCGCGUUGUUCCACGGUGAGCUCCCAAAUUCACAUGGUGGAUUCUAGAUUACUGGAGCUAUACAAGGCAGCCAUGUGACAACAGAGUAAACUGGAGUGAAAUAAAGUGAUGGAGCCAAAGCAAGAGUGUAGGGCAGUCACGUGGCAUACACAAGGUGAAAGUUCUACAUAAAGACUAACAGAAACAUGGGAAAAUCACAAGGAUGUUCCAUUCAAUACAAACAUGUACAUGUUACAAAAUUGUUGUUUUGCACUGUAAUUUGGUUGAGUUUAGUUCUGGAGAAUGAGUAUGUUCGUUCGGUAGUUAGCUUUUAGCAGUAUGUAGAAUAUGAAAGGAUUUGCUGGAAAUUGGGAUAAAUAAUAUGCGUGUGAACUAAAUUUUUUCUUUGAGCUCAUACUAAACGAGAAAAUGCUUCAAAUUUAUGAGGUUGCCUGGGAAGCUAAUGAAGACAGACCAGUGAAUGUUCACGCUUGAGAAUUCUUGGAUUUCUCUGCCACAUACAUAUGGUCGUGGACCAUCCAUAUGAAUUUAUUUAAAAAAAAUUCUCCCGUUGCAACGCACGGGCAUUUUUCCUAUACCUUAAAAAGAUAGAUGUGUUGAUUUAGUUCACCUGUACUGAACAUAUUACUUUCUGCUAUGACAUGCAUAUUCAGAAUCAUGGGGUCAGGAAAGCAAUGAAAGUUAGCAACGGCAGAUCGUAGCAAUGUCUGAACGGCCGUCUGCUACUGAAGCUCGUCCACCGUCCUCACUCUGAUGAGAUCAAAAGCCACAAUAUGUAUGCAUGUUGAGAAAAAAAAUAUUUUAAGAUGUGUGUUUUGUCAUAUAGUUCAACCAAUACAUAUUUGUUUAUGGAUCAUUCGCAUUUGGCAAGUACUCACACUACAUUUUCAGCUAUGCAUGUGAAUGCUUGGGGAGACACUACAUGGCAUAGUUAACUUUUGUUCUGGUUCAAUUAUAUGUUUUUACUGACACUUUCCUACUAAGAAUGCGUUUCCAUUAAUUUUUCUCCCUGUUGAUAUUUUUCCUCUUAGCAUCAUCCAUCAUCAUUGCCCCAUGACCCGACUUGCUUUCCCAAAUGCACGAACAAACAUCUGCUCUGUAUGCACAGCAAACUUUAGUUCCAUUCAAUGCCAUCACAAGAUCCCCUUACAGUAUGUGAACAAAGUUGCAUUCCUUUGGUUCAGAUGUGACAUUUUCUCAUUUGAUUGUUCAUUAAAUUUGCAAGCGAGCUAUUUUAGUUAGAUGCUCUAAAAGA